rnacentral:lncRNA from 1 species
GGCCUGGAACCCCGAGCAUCCAGCUCUGCUCGCAGUGCCCCCCAAGGCUGAGGUUUCAGUCUGCAGUCUGCUGAUCCGAAAGAAAGAAGGCGGCUUUUGGAGGACAUAAUCAUUGCAAGUCGAGCUGCUGCUGAACCUCCCCUUCCAACAUCCAGCAGGUUUGUUCUGCAGGCCCCGAUGAUGGCACAGGCAUGAAAGAGCCCAGAGCUCGUCGCUGGGGAGAGGCUGCGUAUGGCGUUGUGAAGGGAGAGAUGGAGGAGGGGUUUGAGCAGCGCUGUGCAAGAAUGAACGGCUGGCAGGAGUCGGGCAGCGGUACUGCAGCUCCUCUGGCAGCUUUGCAGCUCAGUAGGGAAGCAGAAGAUGUGGAUGUGAAAGAAGAAGUCCGUUGCUGGGACGUUCCCCUGUUCUUCCCCCAGCUGUCCCCUUGCCUCAGCCUGGAUUCCCCUUGUGUUCCUGUAGGAUUCCCUUCCAUCCCCCUGGCUGCCCCUUGCUUUCCCCAAGGCUGCCCUUUCCUUUCUCAUGACAGCCCACCCAUCAUUCCCUCAGAGCCCCAAUGUCCCCCCCAGUGUUUCCCAGCAAGACCCCUUGAGACACCCUAUAGCCCCCCACAGAGCCCUGGAGCCCCUCGAGGACCCCCUCAGACCCAGUACACCUCCCCCGUAGCUGGCCCAUACCCACAUGGAGCCCCACAGUCCCCAGCAGCACCCCAUGUGCCCCACUGGGCUUCCCCGGAAUCCUCCUAUUUCCUCCCUCAGACCUCCUUUACACCUCCAAGAUCCCCCCUGGGAACUCGCUGACCCCCAUGUUCUUUGACAGUACCUCCAUCACCAUCCAGUGAACCCCAUAGCCCACCUUUGGCC